CAACAGCAUCCAUGAUGCAAGUUAUGUUGUGAGUGGAGUUCCUGCUAAGACCUGAUGCUGUUAUCCAUUCUCAAGAUCACUGCUACAUGAGAUAGCAAAACAGGAAAUAAUAAUGAAGAAAAGAAGGAAGCUAACGAGAAUGGUGCAAGAUCAGUGGUCAAAUAACAUCACAGAGAUCACAGCUGUUAAUGGUUUGGAUCAAAAUUGUCUUCCUGAAUGAGAACUUCACUUCGAUCCAGUCCAGAAACAAGAAUUGUGGAUUCAUACCCGAGGUACCAGAGCCAGCCAGUUCCAGCUCAGUUCCUGCUUGGUGUCGGACUCCACUGGUACAUGACGCUGAGUAAUGACAACAAACUACAGCUGGUGCUAGCUAGACAUCACUUCAGUCUUUUGACUUCAGAGGAUGAACUGAUGCCAACUCCAACUGUAAGAUAUCGAAUACUUCAUAUGCCACUGCCUGAACCUUGGACUUAGGAUGGACCCCACUGAACCUCACCAAAAUAACCUGCCGGUUGAACUGCGAUGCACCUCAUUGAUGUCUGCCUGCAUCACCUUUGUCUAUUGAUGGACUACACUCUUGAAAUGGAAUACAUAGACUAUCAUUGAAUUACCAACAAAAGCCUUCAUCAGCCAACUAACAAAGACAAUGCAUCUAUGUGAACUUCUGCAGUUAAUC